CUUCCUCUUGCUGUUGCUGCAGUAGCACCUGCCCUUGAUGUUCCUCUGUUGCUGAGCGUAUGCAGGCGCUUACCACUCGUGCAUGUGAUACGAUUUCAUGAAUUUCGGAAAAUGUGAGCAAUUAUUUUAAAAAUCUAAGACACAUCACUUGCAACUACACACCUAUACUGCUAUAUACGACAUUUAUGCUUGUGUAUAAAAGAAAAAUAUUAAACUCAUUUAUACUUCUAACAUUGAAUUCCUUUCACAUAAAUCAUCCCUGCAGUCACCUGCUUAGAGCGAAACCGCCUCCUAGAAGCACCAAGAGGUCAUUCCUCAACUACGUCGACCGACCAGACUUCGGACGCAACAAUGAACACCUUCACCGACUCCCUCUCAAUGCUUGCGUAUAUGGAGUCAAACCACCACCAAUUGCAGACGAAGAGCACGAGUUGCCGCGAGAAACGAAAGUGAUCCUUGCGAAUUUUCGUUUUGGAUACUGUAGCAGGUUCAAUUCCUACUUAUCCAGAAUAGACCCCGACACAUCUAAUAUAUGUUCUGCAUGUCCCACUAACCCCACUCAUCACACAACUCUCUCCCUUUGGUACGACCCCAUCGAAACAGCACGUUUCUUAGGCCUACCGUUGGAUGAUGACAAGUUGAGCAAGAACGCGUUUCAUACCCAAAAUAUCCACCAAAAUCAUACGAACGGACUCUCGAGAUAUGUCAAGCUCUCUUGUCAUCUCUCUAACACUUGCCUGACGAUUAUCAAGCAUCAUAUCUUUUACACUUUUAAUAUUUUCAUCAGUUGAAGAAGUCGAAGGUUAUCUAGAAGGAGACAUGUCUUCAACGAUCUCUCGAAGGGUUUGUACGACUCGUAGACUUGUACUUUUGAUAAAACUGAAUCAUCGUAAGCCUUCUUCAACAUAUGCAACUAAUUUGGUUAGAAAUACAGAACUUGAGAUAAAUUCUUUGUUCGAUAUUUUUAUCGAUUGUAAAAAUUGCAACAAACUACUGAGGUGUAUCGACUUAAGGGGGUAUUAUGCUAAACAAUUUUCAAAACAACGAAACAAAUUUGUUUGCUGUUUUGAUUACUUUAAGCCCUUAAUAAUAAUGUAGAAAUUUUCCUUUGACUCAGAUGGUAACGGAAAGUUUUUAAAAACGAGAUCUGUCGGGCGCUCGAAUCGCACAGCUGGCGUGUCGAGUCGAUUCUUUUGUUGACCUUUAAAUGCGUUUUUCGCGAAACAAUGUUUUUUGAACUGGUACCCACGAUUCCAGCCAAUCUCCUUGGCCGAUUUGUCUAAUUUUUUUUUGGAAUUUUCAGAAAAGACUUGGCUAUCUAAUGACCUAUAAUCAUCAUUGUUAAUAGAUAUUUGACAACAUUAGGACACAAUUAGUAACCAAAAAUAGGUGAAAAAAAAAAAAAAAAAAAUUAAAAGUUGCACUAUUUGUUUAUUUAUCAACGAAUUGUUUCAGUCGAAGGUCAUUAGAUCGCUAUUCAUAUGUACUCUAAAAUAAAAUUUAUCCCGUUCGUUUCAGAUCAUCCACAAUGAAGAAAUCGUGGGUACCACUUUAAAGAUGGCGUCUUCCGUUCAGCCAUAUCUCCACUGGAUA